rnacentral:lncRNA from 1 species
AGGAAUCUUCACCCCUAACUUGAACUUCAUAACACUGGAGAGAGAGACUGUGGAAUGGAAUGACUCUCCAGAGCUGCAGAUUGAAGAUCUCAAUGGCGGGAACACCUUCAUGGCCCCUUUAUAGCUGGAUGAUCAUUUCCUGUUCUCUCCACCAUGGCCACCUGGUCCAAGCCACCAUCUUCAUGCACCUGGAUACCUGCCAUAACCUCAGCUGACCUUUCCUGUGUCCAUUCUUG